UGUCACUGGAUCAAAUAAAAUCAACUUAGAAAAGAGUAUGGCUAUAGCAGAGAAGAGGGUCUUGAACUGAUAAAUGUUACCCAGAAACUUCCAACAUUUCUAUUGGACCCAAGGGAGAGAAACAAGCAACAGAUACUUACAGAGGAGCAUCUAAUUCACUAGGAAGAAAACCUAAAAGAGAAUGUGUCAUGACAGAAACGAAAACUAGACUGCACUUCAGGAUGGAGGGAGCAGACAGUUGCAUCGAAUGCUGUUGCUCACUUUGCGGAAGGCCAGAUACCAUGUUGGAGGUGCCUUAAGAAGAGCUGCACAUGGCAAGCCACUGUGGGAGGCCCCAUCAACCACCCAGCAAAGAAAUAAGACCCUCAGUCCAAAAACCAGGGAUAACUCAAUCCUGCCAACAACCACAGACUGGGAUUAAUUGGUCGUGUGCACCCUGGCAUUCUCAAGGCCAAGAACAAUUCCUGACAUAUUGCUGGCACCCAAUAACAUAUGUUCAAUGAAUAAUUAAUCCUCCAACAACUAUCAGAGAUGAGGGUCAAAGAGGAGAUCUGAAGUCUCAUUUUGUCACUAUUCUGAGACGCUAAGAAGGUGUCAUAGAUGGAAGACUCUGUUCUGCUCCUAGAUCUUACUGUUCCCAUUAGCCCAACCCACCCCAUCUGCUUCACGACCCUGACUCCUCUUUCUACAGGAUGAACUGCCUCUGCCCUGGUGAGUUCUCAAUUCCAGGAGAGCCUAAAUGUCCUGCUAGAGCUUGCCAUUCUGAUGAGAAGCUAUUGGUCCUCAGAGGCUCACACACUCAGGCUUAAAGGGAAAACUUGUCACAAACUUUGGAAUUGCCUCAGCACUAGAUUAAAAAUCAAGAGGAGU